rnacentral:tRNA from 1 species
GCGGAUAUGGCGGAAUUGGCAGACGCGCUAGACUUAGGAUCUAGUGCCGCAAGGCGUGGGGGUUCGACUCCCUUUAUCCGCACCA